UACGUAGGGGGCAAGCGUUGUCCGGAUUUAUUGGGCGGAAAGAGCGUGUAGGCGGCCUGACAGGUCUGCUGUGAAAACUCGAGGCUCAACCUCGAGAUGUCGGCGGAAACCGUCUGGCUAGAGUCCGGAAGAGGAGAGUGGAAUUCCUGGUGUAGCGGUGAAAUGCGCAGAUAUCAGGAAGAACACCUAUGGCGAAGGCAGCUCUCUGGGACGGUACUGACGCUGAGACGCGAAAGCGUGGGGAGCGAACAGG
rnacentral:rRNA from 1 species